AGGAACUAUCUUAGCUCUGGGGUUCAAACUUAUCCAUAUAUUCACCCUUUCAUACUUCCCUCCAUCCUUCCAAGGAGGAAGGCACAUCCUCAGUCCUUCACACAGCAAUCAUCUCUAUCUGUAGUCUUGCUAUAACUCCUGAAGUUCCAAAAGGGCUAUGAAUUCAACUUAAAAGGACCAGAGAAGACAGAGCCAGUAAUAUUAUUGAGAUUCGGGAAGCUCUUAACUUCUAAAGUAGGAAGAAUGAAAAAUGAAAGGGAUUGGUCUUGUUCCAAAAAUGGCUGGUAGAGCCAAAGAAAAAAGUCACCAUCUUCAAGACUACAGAGCUCCUCACUCUUUAAGAACCAAGACUAAAUUGGCUUCUCUUAUCUCUGUGUAAAGUAAAACUACAAUGGAAAUAACUGUGUCCCUCCUACUCUGAAUUCCCAAACACAGGACUAUCAUCUGGGCAAAGGAGAGGAAGGGUGUCAUUUAGUCUCCUACAAACUGCCCCCAAGAACCACACUGUAGUGAGUUUUUAUAAGCUUAUCAGCUGGGGGUUUGGAGUGUCAUAUUUCUUCAAGCCAUGAUAAGGAGAAUGUGAGGCAGUGGUAGGAGAAAGGAAAAGGAAACUGACUGAUGGUUGAGAAGAUUUACUUGUUCUCCUCUCUCCUCGUGCUACAUUUGACAACCCUGAUGGUCAUCGUGUGCUCUAGUUUGUGCGAGACUGUUUCUUGACAGGUGUGGGGAACAGAUAUCUUUGUACCACAGGCACCGCGUGAUAAACCCUGGGGACAUAUUUCAAUGAGACUUCAAGUGAGUGAAAAUGCAUGGCUUUCCAACUCUCAUCUAGAAGAUCAAAUUCUUAAACAGUUACCUACACUUGAGGCCCUCAUUUUCCUGUAUAAGCUUCCAAAGACUUCACUGUCUGCUAGCUUAUGUACUGAUUUCCUGGUUUUUUAGUAUUUUCUUUCUUCUUUGGUAACAUGGCUUUUUUUAAAAAAAAAGAAAGAACAAAAAAAAGAGUGCUCUCUGUAGGGAAUUAAUUGUUACCUUGAAGACUAUAUUCAUAGAGUUCAACCAAGAUAUCUUAAAAAUUAUCAAACUCUUGACAGACCCACUAUGAAACUUUAAAAAAAAAUUAUAUAAUGUAUGUGUGAAUUUUUUCCAACUCAAUUGAAACAGAAAAUUUUUAUUUUGGGAUUUAAGACAUUUUCUUUGAUUUUUCUUCUUUUUCUGUUAAUGCAGAGGUCAAGUCACCAUCUGCUAACAUCCAGUGAAUUUGCGUCAGUGCACAUACCCAUUAUGGUACUGUGUGAGAAGAAAUCUCUGUCCCCAGAAGAGAGGGGCUCCAGGGGUGUGGGGAGCCAUCAGUGCAUGGGCUUUUGCUUUGCAGACAGGAGGCUCAUGAUUUUUCACCUUGUUUUCAGUUUAUACAGCUUUUAGAAAUGCAAUAAUCAUGCAGGACCUCAUUGAGGGAAAAUGGCACCACCCCAGUUGCCAUACUCACACUAGACAACAUACUUAAAUAAUGGAAAGGUUACAACCUCUAAAAGAGUGACUGCUGCAGUUCUGAUGGGGGCUACUUUCCAUCCUUAACUCAUAACAGAUCAUACCUUAUUGAGGUCCCUGUUUCAUGAAUGCCAUCAAGUCUAAUACUGGGAACUUUGAAUUGUAUGGAGUUCAGGAUUUAAGGAGUGAGCGAAGGGACCCCACCUUCAGACUCUGCCACCAAAAUGUAGGGUUGUGCAGACACUUUUGGGAAAAGCUGGGAAGGAAACUCAACAGCCAUUCCUGCUCUUAGAUAAAAGGCAGCGUCCUUCAGUGCUGGCAUGUGGGCUGGCUGAGAGGAUAUGUCUUAGAGUUGAAUCUGCAGGAUAUCAUUUAUUAAUGGUAGGGUUGCAGGCUAGCAGUCUAACCUCUGAUUGUUAAAUUUCCUUGACUAUCUAUAUCUAGACUUUGUAACCUGAACUGAGAUUCAGCAUUGGGGGCCAUAAUGUUGAUCCCCAAGGGAAGAGGACCUGGGGGCUUGUCCCUUCUUCCCCAGACCUUUGUCUGCAUGAGUUAACUUGCAUGAGGGCAAGGAGAUCUGCACGGAAGUUUUGUGCUUCAUAUUAGAAGAAUGGGAAAUGGAGUAAGUUAUAUUCUUCAGGUCAUACAAGCUGAGAAAGUCUACAUACAGGCAGAAGCUGAGGGAGUUGUUUUUAAAAGUAAUUUUUUUUUUUACACUUGGAGAACAAGCAGUGCAGUUCAGAAACUGAAGCACCAAAUGAAUGUUGAAUGUUGAGGGAAAAAAAUGUUCUUUCUAUUUCUGCAAGGGUGCAAUGGGUCUUCAACAGAGUAGAAGACCGAAGGAAACCCAGUGUAAUUUAGUGGCAUAUGGUAUGUAACAUCAGAGCACCAGGAAAGCACUUUAGGCAGAGAAAUCAUGUCCUAAGAAAGGCCCUGGCAGCAGAGCAGUAGCACAGGGCCCUCUCGGGUGGCCAGCUGGCAGAGGGUGCCUCUUGGGAUGCUGAAGCAGGAGUAUAUGAGUUGACUAAUCAUGACCAUGGAGAAGAGAGAAGAUAUGUAUGCCUCCAGAAAUUUCCAGGGGCUGAGGACCUCAAAUAAUGUGGGUGGAGCCUCUGAAUCAACAACUAACAGGUAUUAAUAUCACCAUGACUAUAUUCACACACCUACAGGAUGUUGGGAUGUUGCGACUUUCAGAUGCCACAUAGUGCUGAGGACAAUGCUACUAUAUCCUCUAACAGUCGCAGUAAGGAUUAAUGAGGCAACGUAUGUGAAAAUGCUAGAACAGUGCUUGGUAUGUAGGAAGCACUCCACUAAUUUCCUUUCCAAGCUUCACCUUUAUAAGCAACUUUCUAAAACAUCUGUCUAGUAUAUUUAUCUUGUCUAUGAUGCUAUAUCACAAAAGACAAUAUGUAGCUCUUUUUUUUUUCAUGUUAUGGAAAGAUAAAUGGAAAUAAAUGAAUUCCUCUCUAAAAGGUGUUUGUUAUUUUAUGCAGGCAUCAAAUAGCUUGGAAAUAAGUGAAACAUUUAGGACUUGAGACGAUCUUUCAGUUCAUUAAGACAGUAAUGUAUGAGAGAAAUACUUCAGUGGUUCUGGAAAUGCUUACUUUGCGCAGGUUACUAUAUGAGCCCUAAAGAAGAUGGUUAAAAGGUAAAGUGGGAACAAAAAGGAAUACUCUCCAAGGUCAUACACACACUAAAGGAUUGGUAUAAAAGACCUCUAUGGCAUUGUAUUCUAUUUAUAAUAUUUCACUAGAUUCUUGUUACAUGUAGAAAAAGCAAUCUCAACUUUUUAUGUGAUGCCAUACACCAGGCCUAUUUGGGCUGAUUGCAAGGUCAUUAAUGAGUUUCAAUUGGCCCCCAAAGUCUUUUUUACACUUGAUUUCUAGUGCUUGGAAAUUUUCCAGUAGAAUGAAUACUUCUACAUUAGGGUAGGGAUGGAAAAUGUCUUACCUCCUAUGUUUGUAUGUGCAGACAUCACCAAUCAAUUACUGGUCUUUUCUGCUGAGUCACCUUCUCAACAUGGUGCUAUAAACGGCCACUUCCAAUCAAAAGAGUUAAAAUAAAUUUUAUCCAUCUGCCUUAAAGCUUUGCUCUCUAUGAAAGGCAAAUAUUUGAAGAAGAGUAAAAAUGUAAGUUAUCAAUCACUGACAACUAAAUGUUUUUUAAAAAAUUGAAAGCAGCACAUUGCAUUAGAGGAGAGAACCCAAGGGCUCUGGAAUAGGGGAGGGUAGGAAGAGAAUUUAGGAGCUCCCUGAAGAUAUACUUCACCUACUUAACAAUUUUGCCUAAGGCCAAUGCUGCCAAAAGGACCAGUUCUCUCCAGGGCAUCUAUUUCAGCCAUUUACCAUCAAAUAAAACUUAUGACUGGCAUAUGAAUUCUUAGGCCAAGGGCAUUUUACUUUUUGAAAUUUUAAAGUACUUGUUGAGUAAACUACUUUAAAAAUUAAAGUCAUAAAAGAAUCCCAGAAGCAGAAAGAACAAUGCAGAAGGUGAGCAAGGUGUAGCUUACUAUAGCAGGUGCUGUGUAUCUGUAUUUCACGCACACACAGGUGCUCCUGGGUAAACACACAGGCAGAUUACUGUGAACCUCCGUUGUUACCCAUACUCUACAGCACACUGGCAAGCCAACAGGUAAAAGGAAAGCAAGAUAAAAUACAUUUAAAAAGACAUUUAAGGACUUGAGCUUAUGGCCAAGAAGGAGUAAUAGGGAUAUACUUUCCGACCAGAAACAACCAGUAAAUGAACAAAAUAUAUGAAAAAAAUUGUGGGACAUUGGGCAUCAGGCAACAAAGUAUAGUGAUCCUGACUAAUGGCAAAUCAAUGAAGUGAGCUUAAAUUCUCUCCAACUUACUGUCUUGAGCAAGUUUCUAAGCCUUGGUACAGGGAAAGGGAACCCAGAAAGAUCCAAAAGACCUGCAUUGAAGAGACAGAGCUGAGAGUCCAGGUAGAAUAAAGUAGCUGUAGUUUAUAAGAUUGAACACAGGAGAGGCGAGUGCUUCACAGAGAACUUCAGAGAUUUACUGAGGGUCUCCCUUGGCCAUUCAGCCAAAGAGCAAUUAGUAUAGACAUGUGAAGAAACUCCAGGAGACUGGGCAGAGUCACCUGAAAGGAUGAGAACAUGGUUUCUCAAUAUCAACACUACUGACAUUUCUGAUUGCAUAAUUUUUUGUUGUGGGGGCUGUCCUGUGUAUUGCAGGAUGUUUAGCAGCACCCUUGACCUCGACUCACUAGAUGCCAGUGGCAUUCACCUCCACUCCAGUUUCUAGUUGUGACAACCAAAGUAUCUUUAGACAUUGCCAAAUGUCCCUUGUAAGGCCAAAUCUACCUAUGUGAGGAUUACUGGAUUAAAGGAAACAGUGGCCAGUGUUCACACAGGGCUAUGAAUAGAAUUUGUACUCACCAGCCAGGCUGGAAAACCUCGAGAUUCACAGGAUACUGGGUUGAGUACACAGAAGGAUCUUACCUCAGUAGAGAGGAAUAAUUAGUCCUAGAAUGAGCAUUGCUCCAGUCCCACUUAACAAAAUCUUAAAAGUAAGAACUGACAGUAUCAAACUAUUGACAAGUGAUUUAGCUGCAUUUCAGAAGAAAAUUUAAGAAUAUUUUAGGAAUACAAAGUAUCUAGCACUCAACAAACAAAAUUUACAAAGUCUGGAAUUGUGUAAAAAAUUACCAGUCAUCAAAGAAGCAAGAAACUAUAAUCUACAAUGAGGAACUCAAUCAGUUAAUCAAAACUGACUCAGAAUUGACAUAGAUAUUAGAAUUAGUGGAUACCAACAUUAAAAUAAUUAUUACAUUUGUAUUCUAUAUGAUCAAAAGUUGAGACAUGGAAAAUAUAAAAAGAUCCAAAUCAAAUGUCAAAGGGUGAUUAUUAUAAGGGAUAAGAUACUUUAAUAUCUUGUAUAAAGUAUAAGACUUCAGUGGGUAUAGUUUGUGGCAGACCUCAGAGAAGAAAAGAAUUAGUGAAUGCGAUGACAUGGUAAUAAAAACAGAGAGAAAGAAAUUUUUAAAAAAUGAACAUAGCAUCAGAGAGUUGUGGGAAAACUUUAAGUGGAUUCAUAUCAUUUGAAUCUUCAGGAAGAGAAGAGAGUGAGGACUACAGAAAAACAUUUGAAGAAAUAAUUGUUGAAAGUUUUCCAAAUUUCAUGAAACCCAUAAACCCACAGGUUCAAGAAGCUCCAUGUAUCCUAAGCACAAAAAACAGCAAGUUAAAUACACCUAGGCACAUUAUAAUAAAAUUGCUCAAAACUAAUAAUAAAAUGAAAAUCAUACAGAGGAACAAUAUGGAUGAAAGAAGAUUUCACAUUAGAAAUAAUACAAGUGAGACAAUAAUAUAAUCAUAUUGGAGUAACACUUUCAAUGUACUGAAAAAGAAAAAAACUGUCAACCUAGAAUUAUAUACCCAGCAAAAAUACUUUCCAAAUGCAAAGGUAAAAUGAUGACAUUUUCAGUAAUACAAAAACUGUAAGAAUUAGUCACCAGCACAUUCACAUUAUAAGAAAUAUUUAAAAGGUCUUUUAGGUAGAAGGAAAUGUUGCUGUAUAAAAAUAUGAAUCUAGUUAUCUAUGAAAUAAAGAACACCAGAAAUGAUGACUACUUGGCAAACAUAUAUGAUUUUUACUUAUCAUUUAAAUAUCUUUAAGAGAUUAUUGCAUGUUUGAGGUAUAUAUGUGUGUGUGUAUAUAUACACACACACACACAUAUAUGUAUAAAAUGCAUAAUAUUAAUAGCAUAAAUUUCAGGAGAAGAGAAAUAUAAAUAACCUAAUGUAAGUUUCUUAUACAAGGAGGGGUAGAAUGUCACUUAAAGGAAAAUCAUGUAUAUGAUAAACUCUAAAGCAUUAACUAAAGUAAUGAAAUAAGAGUUGUAACUGGGUAGUUCCUGCCAUGGCAUACUGGGUUAGGAAUCUGAUUGAAGCAGUUCAGGUCACUGAGGAGGUGUGAGUCUGAUUCCUGGCCCAGUACAGUGGGUUAAAGGAUCUGGCACUGCCACAGCUGUGGCAUAAGUUGCAGGUGUGGCUCAGAUUCAAUCCUUGGCCUGGAAACUUCCAUAGGCC
rnacentral:lncRNA from 1 species